UACGUAGGGGGCAAGCGUUGUCCGGAAUCAUUGGGCGUAAAGCGCGUGUAGGCGGCUCGGUAAGUCUGCUGUGAAAGUCCAGGGCUCAACCCUGGGAUGCCGGUGGAUACUGUCGAGCUCGAGUCCGGAAGGGACGGCGAGUGGAAUUCCUGGUGUAGCGGUGAAAUGCGCAGAUAUCAGGAGGAACACCAAUGGCGAAGGCAGCUCGCUGGGACGUGACUGACGCUGAGACGCGAAAGCGUGGGGAGCAAACAGG
rnacentral:rRNA from 1 species